GAAAUGCGAUAAGUAGUGUGAAUUGCAGAAUUCAGUGAAUCAUCGAAUCUUUGAACGCACAUUGCGCCCCUUGGUAUUCCAUGGGGCAUGCCUGUUCGAGCGUCAUCUACACCCUCAAGCUCUGCUUGGUGUUGGGCGUCUGUCCCGCCUCCGCGCGUUGGACUCGCCCCAAAUUCAUUGGCAGCGUUCCUUGCCCCCUCUCGCGCAGCACAUUGCGUUUCUUGAGGGCGGCUCCGGGACGCGACCCACGAAGAUGACCACCGUCUUUGACCUCGGAUCAGGUAGGGAUACCCGCUGAACUUAA
rnacentral:misc_RNA from 1 species